rnacentral:rRNA from 1 species
AUUGAACGCUGGCGGCAGGCUUAACACAUGCAAGUCGAGCGGAGAUGAGGUGCUUGCACCUUAUCUUAGCGGCGGACGGGUGAGUAAUGCUUAGGAAUCUGCCUAUUAGUGGGGGACAACAUUCCGAAAGGAAUGCUAAUACCGCAUACGUCCUACGGGAGAAAGCAGGGGAUCUUCGGACCUUGCGCUAAUAGAUGAGCCUAAGUCGGAUUAGCUAGUUGGUGGGGUAAAGGCCUACCAAGGCGACGAUCUGUAGCGGGUCUGAGAGGAUGAUCCGCCACACUGGGACUGAGACACGGCCCAGGCUCCUACGGGAGGCAGCAGUGGGGAAUAUUGGACAAUGGGGGGAACCCUGAUCCAGCCAUGCCGCGUGUGUGAAGAAGGCCUUAUGGUUGUAAAGCACUUUAGGCGAGGAGGAGGCUACUGAGACUAAUACUCUUGGAUAGUGGACGUUACUCGCAGAAUAAGCACCGGCUAACUCUGUGCCAGCCGCCGCAGUAAAAC